rnacentral:rRNA from 1 species
AGUAAUACAAGGCAUACGGCUCAGUAACGCGUAGUCAACCUACCCUAUGGACAAGAAUAAUCUCGGGAAACUGAGCAUAAUUCUUGAUAGAUCAUAAUGCCUGGAAUGGUUUAUGGUUGAAAUGAUUCGUCGCCAUAGGAUGGGACUGCGGCCUAUCAGCUUGUUGGUGAGGUAAUGGCCCACCAAGGCGAUUACAGGUACGGGCUCUGAGAGGAGAAGCCCGGAGAUGGGUACUGAGACAAGGACCCAGGCCCUAUGGGGCGCAGCAGGCGAGAAAACUUUGCAAUGUGCGAAAGCACGACAAGGUUAAUCCGAGUGAUUUCUGCUAAAGAAAUCUUUUGCAAGUCAUAGAACCACUAGUGAAUAAGGGGUGGGCAAGUUCUGGUGUCAGCCGCCGCGGUAAAACCAGCACCUCAAGUGGUCAGGAGGAUUAUUGGGCCUAAAGCAUCCGUAGCCGGCUCUGUAAGUUUUCGGUUAAAUCCAUGUGCUCAACGCAUGGGCUGCCGAAAAUACUGCAUAGCUAGGGAGUGGGAGAGGUAGACGGUACUCGGUAGGAAGGGGUAAAAUCCUUUGAUCUAUCGAUGACCACCUGUGGCGAAGGCGGUCUACCAGAACACGUUCGACGGUGAGGGAUGAAAGCUGGGGGAGCAAACCGGAUUA